UUAGAGGCAAUAUGCUGAGAAAAGCUGUGACGAUACUCUCAUCUCCAUCUCCCAUAUAAUGUACGGUCUCCGACUUCCGUCCAACCUCUUCCCUUAAACGGCUGUUUCUCUCUCUCUCUCCAUCUUGUUCUUUUCUUUGCCCCCACAUUUACAGAAACCUUUUGUACACUCAUCCCUCUAUUCCUUCCUCAUCCCCAGAUUCCUCCCCACCCCCUCCCCCCCUCCC
rnacentral:lncRNA from 1 species